CCACCCUCAGUUCCUUCUUGCCAGACAACUCCAACAGUGGAGAAAGAGGGUGGGCUGUGGUAUGGACAUGAGCAACAAUCUUGAAGAAUACCAGUUAUGGAAAAGGUAACUUCUUUUCUUCUUCGAGAGAGAUUGUUCAUGUGCAUUCCACAGUAGGUGAUUCCAAGCUAUAUCUGUUGGAGGUGGGUAGGAGUUCACAGACACUCGGAAUGGAGCACAGCCUUGCCGAACUCGGUGUCUUCCCUGGUCUGGGAUACAAUCGCAUAAUGCAAGCUCAACGUGUGGACCAAGGACCAUGUAGCAGCUCUACAAAUGUCCUGAAUAGGGAUGCAAGCCAGAAAGGCAGUGGACGAGGCUUGCACCCUUGUUGAGUAUGCUCUCACAAUCGGUGGCGGGGGGGACUCCCGCCAGGUCGUAACAAGUAUGGAUACAUGAAGUGAUCCAGCUGAAGAGCCGCUGAGUGGAGAUCGGCCUGGCCUUCAUGCUUUUGGCUGUGGCAAUGAACAGCUGCAAAGACUUCCUGAACGGUUUUGUUUGUUCCAGGUAAAAAGCCAGGGCCUGUCUCACAUCUGGCACGUGGAGACGGCGCUCCUCACUGAUGUGUGAGGCUUGGGACAGAGUAUCAGAAGGAAAACGUCCUGGCUCAUAUGAUAGGCGGAGACCACCUUGGGGAGGAACGAAGGGUUGUGGGUGGAGCUGGACCUUAUCUUUAUGAAAUACCAUGAACGGGGGGUCGGAAGUCAGGGCCCAGAGCUCCGAGACCCUCCUAGCAGAUGUGAUUGCCACAAGAAAGGCUACUUUCCAUGAAAGGUGGGACCAGGAGCAUGUGGCAAGUGGCUCAGAUGGAGGCCUUGUCACCCUGGCCAGACCGAAGUUCAGGUCCCACUAUGGGAUCGGGGGCCUAACAUAAGGAAAGAGGCGAUCCAAGCCCUUACGGAAUUGACUGGACAUGGCGUGAGAAAAUACUGUGUGGCCCUGGACUGGCGGGUGGAAGGCCACUAUGGCUGCCAGAUGCACUUAGACGGACAAGGGUGCUAGGCCUUGGGCUCUGAGAUGAAGUAGAUAAUCCAGUAUAAGCUGGAGUGGGGCAGCCACUGGUGAGACACCAUGAUCAGCGGCCCACCGAGAGAACCUUAACCAUUUUGCCAGGUAAGCCUGACACGUGGAGGUCCUCUCCUCUUGGCCUAAACUUUGAGCAACCACGCCAUGAGGGCUGCAAAGUUGGGGUGGAGGAGGUGACCUUGGUCCUGAGAGAGAAGGUCUGGGAGGGUUGGCAGCAAUGGACAGGUUCAUAAGAGUCCCGUACCAGUGCUGUCUGGGCCCUACUGGGGCAAUCAUGAGGACGCGAGCCUUGUCCAUCUUGAUUUUUUCCAGGACCUUGCUGAUCAGCGGAAUUGGGGGAAAAACCAUAUACAUCUCUACCCUGAUAUAAUGCGACCCGAUAUAACACAGGUUCACAUACAACGUGGCCUGCGUUAUAUCGGGGUAGAGGUGUAGUAGCUGACCGACCAGGACAGAAGGCAGGCAUCGGAAAUCGCGCCCUUGCCCAGACCCCUCCUGGAGCAGAACCGGGGACACCAACAGUUCUGCCUGGUCGCAAAGAGGUCCACUUUGGGGAGUGCCCCACAUUCGGAAGAUCAUGUGAGCCACCUCCGGGUGUAGCAAUCACUCGUGUUGGGAGAAGUCCCGGCUCAGGCGAUCUGCUCGAGAGUUCCGAAUGUCCGGUAAGUGGUGGGCUUCCAAGUUGAUAUUGUGGGCGAUGCAGAAGUACCACAGCUGGAGCGUUUCCUGGCAGAGGGCUGAGGAGCAGGCCGCCCUGCUUUGCCUGUUGAUGUAGAACAUCGAGGUCAUGUUGGCCAUGAGAACUCUGACUACCCUGCUCGUAAGGCACAAGCAAAAGGCCACGCAGGCCAGAUGGACUGCUUGGAGUUGUCUGACGUUUAUGUGCAGGGCUAGUUCCUCUGCAGACCACAGACGUUGGGUCUGGGGCUCCCCACCCCAAGUCUGACGCAUCAGACACCAACUCUAUAGUUGGGGAGCAGUUCCUGAAUGGGACCUCUCGGAGAAUGUUCUCUGGGGUGGACCACCAAAGGAGGGAGGCUAGUACGGACUCGGGCACGGCGAGGACUUUGUCCAACCUGUCUCUGGACUGGGAGAAUGUUGAGGUCAGCCGUGCACGCUGCCAUGUGACCCAGGAGUUGGAGGCACGCCCUGGCAGUUGUCACCGGAAACAUCAUGAUAGCCCUGAUGAGAUCCCUCAAGGUUUCGAACCUGUCCAUCAGGAGGGAAGUUCUGGCUGAUGUGUCGAGAAUCGUGCCAAUAAACUCUAUUUGUUGUACUGGUACCAAUGUGGAUUUGGUGUUGUUUACCAGCAGCCCCAGUGUGGUGCAUGUGGACAGGAGAAGUGUUACGUAGUCCUGUACCUGUGAGCUGGAGCUGCCUUUGACCAGCCAGUCGUUGAGGUAGGGGAAGUUCUGGACCCCCCCGCCCCCCAAUGCCUGAGGUAGGCCACCACCACAGACAUACACUUUGUGAAGACUCUGGAUGCUGUCAAGAGGCCAAACGAGAGGACAGUGAACUGGUAGCGUUCCUGUCCUACCGUGAAGCGGAGGAAACGCCUGUGGCCCUCAAAUAUGUGAAUGUGGAAGGCCUUGCCAUUGAAGGGGACGUCCUGCAGGGAGCUCUGUGCCUUGCUGGACAACACAGACAAGAUGAGCCAUGAUGCCCUCUGCAUGGACACCGCAGAGGCCAUAGUUCUCGCUGCCAUGUCUGCUGCGUCCGAGGCUGCCUGAAGGGCUGCUUUGGCAGCAGCGGUGCCCUCCUCCACCAGGGCCUUAUACUCCUUCCUAUCAUGCUCCUGGAGGGAGUCCAUAAACUUUGGCAUUGAGCCCCACAAGUUAAAAUCAUAGCUGUGGUUUGCUAUCCUCAGCUGGAAGCCUGAAGAAGAAUAAAGCUUUCUACCAAACAA